rnacentral:rRNA from 1 species
GAGUUUGAUCCUGGCUCAGAACGAACGUUGGCGGCAUGGAUUAGGCAUGCAAGUCGCGGGAAUCCAGCAAUGGGGAACCGGCGUAAGGGGCAGUAAGGCAUGGGUACCUACCCCGGGGUUCGGGAUAGCCACCAGAAAUGGUGGGUAAUACCGGAUGACCUCGUGAGAGCAAAGGUCCGCCGCCCUGGGAGGGGCCCAUGUGAUAUUAGCUAGUUGGUGAGGUAACGGCUCACCAAGGCUAAGAUGUCUAGCGGGUGUGAGAGCACGACCCGCGCCACUCGCACUGAGACACUGGCGAGACACCUACGGGUGGCUGCAGUCGAGGAUCUUCGGCAAUGGGGGCAACCCUGACCGAGCGAUGCCGCGUGCGCAAUGAAGGCCUUCGGGUUGUAAAGCGCGAAAGUGGGGAGAAACGCCGAAAGGCUUGAUCUAUCCACAGUAAGCUCGGGCUAAGUUCGUGCCAGCAGCCGCGGUAAGACGAACCGAGCGAACGUUGUUCGGAAUCACUGGGCUUAAAGGGCGCGUAGGCGGGCUGUCAAGUCUGGGAUGAAAUCCCGCGGCUCAACCGUGGAACUGCCUCAGAUACUGACGGUCUCGAGGGAGAUAGGGGCGAGCGGAACUAAUGGUGGAGCGGUGAAAUGCGUUGAUAUCAUU